UACAGAGGUCCCAAGCGUUGUUCGGAUUCACUGGGCGUAAAGGGUGCGUAGGUGGCGGGGUAAGUCGGAUGUGAAAUCUCCGAGCUCAACUCGGAAAUGGCAUUGGAAACUACCUUGCUCGAGGGUUGGAGGGGGGACUGGAAUGCUUGGUGUAGCAGUGAAAUGCGUAGAUAUCAAGCGGAACACCAGUGGCGAAGGCGAGUCCCUGGACAACUCCUGACACUGAGGCACGAAAGCUAGGGGAGCAAACGGG
rnacentral:rRNA from 1 species